rnacentral:misc_RNA from 1 species
AUUUUUGUGCCUUUCAUAUACAUGUAUCUCUACACUCUGUUCUACUGAUUCAGUGGUUCUUGCUGCUGCUUUAUAAAAUACUAAUAUAAUGUAUUGCAAGUUAAAGGUCAUGAAUGUAGGUUUAUUGAACUUAUUCCUACAUUCACUACAUUUCUGUUAAUUCUUUCUCUUCCAAAUAUUCUCUGCAGUCAUAGUCAACCCUUUCACAAGCGAUGGUACCUCUGAUCUUGACUUCCUUUAUUCUCUUCACACUGCUUUUUCAAUCACCCAUUUCCCAUUCUGUUCAGCAGCAGCAUCAACGGACAUUUUUGCUUCCAAAUCAGUGUGAUGAGAAAUGUGGAAAGUUGCAUAUCCCAUUCCCAUUUUAUUUGAACAGUUCUUG